UCUACUCUACCUUCUACUCAG
rnacentral:miRNA from 1 species